rnacentral:misc_RNA from 1 species
GUAUUAUUGGUAUAAGAAGAUGAAGGAGAGAGAUGGAUCGGAAAUGGGUGGGUUUACUCGGGUUUUGCAUUCGGGUAAACCUGAUAAUUUGAUGGAGGAGAUUCCUACUUUUGUUGUUGAUCCUCUUCCUGAAGGAUUGGAUCGGGGUUAUAUUGUUCUUAACAGACCAUGGGCUUUUGUUCAGUGGCUUGAAAAGGCAACAAUUGAAGAAGAAUACAUUCUAAUGGCAGAGCCUGACCAUGUAUUUGCAAAUCCCUUGCCAAACUUGGCUCGUGGAGAUCUCCCAGCCGCAUUUCCAUUUUUCUACAUAAAACCAGCAGAACACGAGGGAGUUAUACGAAAAUACUAUCCGGAGGAGCUAGGCCCAGUGACUAAUGUUGAUCCAAUUGGAAAUUCUCCUGUUAUAAUUAAAAAGUCCAUUUUAGAAAAAAUUGCUCCGACAUGGAUGAAUGUUUCUUUGAGGAUGAAAGAUGAUCCAGAAACCGACAAGGCUUUUGGCUGGGUUCUGGAAAUGUAUGGCUAUGCGGUGGCAUCUGCUUUACAUGGUGUACGCCACAUUCUUCGAAAAGACUUCAUGCUACAGCCACCUUGGGAUCUGGAAGUUGGAAAGAAGUUUAUUAUUCAUUAUACCUAUGGAUGUGAUUAUAAUAUGAAGGGAGAGUUGACAUAUGGAAAGAUUGGUGAAUGGAGAUUUGACAAAAGAUCUUAUCUACGAGGCCCUCCGCCAAAAAAAU